UAGUCAAAGAAUUCCUGUGCUCCUCCCAU
rnacentral:piRNA from 1 species